UAGGGAAUGUUCCGCAAUGGACGAAAGUCUGACGGAGUAACGCCGCGUGAGUGAAGAAGGUUUUCGGUUCGUAAAACUCUGUUGUUAGGGAAGAAAAAAUGUAUAGUAAGUAUAUACAAAAGAGACGGUACCUAACCAGAAAGCCACGGCUAACUACGUGCCAGCAGCCGCGGUAAUACGAAGGUGGAAAGCGUUGUCCGGCAUUAUUGGGCGUAAAGCGCGCGCAGGUGGUUUAGAAAGGCUGAUGUGAAAGCCCACGGCUCAACCGUGGAGGGUCAUUGUAUACUAAUAAACUUGAGUGCUGGAGGGAAAGGUGGAAUUCCUAGUCUGGCGGUGAACUACGUAGAGAUUAGGAGGAACACCGGUGGCGAAAGCGGCUUUUUGGCCUGCAACUGACGCUGAGGCGCGAAAGCGUGGGGGGCAAACAGG
rnacentral:rRNA from 1 species